AACGAACGCUGGCGGCAUGCCUAACACAUGCAAGUCGAACGAGACCUUCGGGUCUAGUGGCGCACGGGGGCGUAACGCGUGGGAACCUGCCCUUAGGUUCGGAAUAACUCCCCGAAAGGGGUGCUAAUACCGGAUAAUGUCUGCGGACCAAAGAUUUAUCGCCUUUGGAUGGGCCCGCGUUGGAUUAGCUAGUUGGUAGGGUAAAAGCCUACCAAGGCGACGAUCCAUAGCUGGUCUGAGAGGAUGAUCAGCCACACUGGGACUGAGACACGGCCCAGACUCCUACGGGAGGCAGCAGUGGGGAAUAUUGGACAAUCGGCGAAAGCCUGAUCCAGCAAUGCCGCGUGAGUGAUGAAGGCCUUAGGGUUGUAAAGCUCUUUUACCCGGGAUGAUAAUGACAGUACCGGGAGAAUAAGCUCCGGCUAACUCCGUG
rnacentral:rRNA from 1 species